rnacentral:tRNA from 1 species
GGGAAUGUGGCUCAGUGGUAGAGCACUUGCUGAGCAUGCAGGAAGCGCUGGGUUCGAUUCCUCAGUACCA